UACGUAGGUGGCAAGCGUUUUCCGGAAUUACUGGGCGUAAAGCGCGCGCAGGCGGCCUCUUAAGGCGGAUGUGAAAGCCCCCGGCUUAACCGGGGUGGGCCAUUGGAAACUGGGAGGCUUGAGUAUAGGAGAGAAGAGUGGAAUUCCACGUGUAGCGGUGAAAUGCGUAGAGAUGUGGAGGAACACCAGUGGCUAAGGCGACUCCUUGGCCUAUAACUGACGCUGAGGCGCGAAAGCGUGGGGAGCAAACAGG
rnacentral:misc_RNA from 1 species